rnacentral:tRNA from 1 species
GCGUUUGUGGUUUAGUGGCAAAAUUGGGCAUUGCCAGCUUCUGCUGAGUUGCCUAGCCCCGGGUUCGAUUCCCGGCGAACGCACCA